ACGCUCGACACCUACGGAGGCAGCAGUGGGGAAUAUUGGGCAAUGGGCGCAAGCCUGACCCAGCAACGCCGCGUGAAGGAAGAAGGCUUUCGGGUUGUAAACUUCUUUUGUCAGGGAACAGUAGAAGAGGGUACCUGACGAAUAAGCCACGGCUAACUACGUGCCAGCAGCCGCGGUAAUCUGAGGCGGGCGUGGCGAAGGC
rnacentral:rRNA from 1 species